rnacentral:lncRNA from 1 species
AAGCUCACAACCAAACUUGUUGUUUUACGAGCUCACAACGAACUCGGUCGGUUUUCCCAGGCUCACCGACUAGAACCAACCCCGAUUGUUUUCCCGGGCUCACAAUCAAACCCUUACACACGUUGGUUUUAACUUGGCUCACCAACCAACCUUAAUCCCCUUGAUUCAAUCCCCCGAUUGAAUCAAGUAAAUACAAGAGAUAGAAGAAAACAGAAAAUAGCUUCUCAAAAAGCAGAUUUAAAACAAUAUAAUCGUAAAGGAGUUAGAAGCCCUCAAACGCUUUUAAGCUGGUGAAGAGGUAUGGCUUCUGGAACUCCAGUCUCCUCUUGAAAGAGUGGUCGACUUGAAUGCAGGAGGAGGAAGCUUUGAUUGUUGGGAAGAAGUUGUUGGAGCAGUAAAUGCAGAUCUCCCCUUUUUCGUUUAAGAGCACUUGGAGAGCUUGAAAACUUGAAUGCUUGGAGUGGAAUAUCUGUUCUCUCUCUUGCUACAGUCCUCUGUGGCUAUUUAAGCCAACCCCCACGGAAACUAGCCGUUACUCUGCUUUUUCUGGCCGUUCUGCACACUCUGCGCAGCCUGACAAUAUGACCGUUGGUGGGUUGGAGUCG